rnacentral:tRNA from 1 species
UGCAUCGGCCGGGAAUCAAACCCGCGUGGCAGGCGAGCAUUUUACCAAUGAACUACCGAUGC